GGUUAAGUGACUAAGCGUACACGGUGGAUGCCUUGGCAGUCAGAGGCGAUGAAAGACGUAGUAACUUGCGAUAAGCCCAGAUUAGGUAGUAACAACCAUUUGAGUCUGGGAUUUCUGAAUGGGGAAACCCACUUACAUAAGUAAGUAUCAUUAACUGAAUACAUAGGUUAAUGAGGCGAACCGGGGGAACUGAAACAUCUAAGUACCCCGAGGAAAAGAAAUCAACCGAGAUUCCGAAAGUAGCGGCGAGCGAAAUUGGACUAGCCCUUAAGCUUUACACGCGUUAGACGAACGGUCUGGAAAGUCCGACGAUACAGGGUGAUAGUCCCGUAGUUGACGACGUGUGUUCAGUGAAAUCGAGUAGGGCGGGACACGUGAUAUCCUGUCUGAAUAUGGGGGGACCAUCCUCCAAGGCUAAAUACUACUGACUGACCGAUAGUGAACCAGUACCGUGAGGGAAAGGCGAAGAACCCCUGUGAGGGGAGUGAAAUAGAACCUGAAACCGUGUACGUACAAGCAGUAGGAGCAGGCUUUGUCCUGUGACUGCGUACCUUUUGUAUAAUGGGUCAGCGACUUAUAUUCAGUGGCAAGGUUAACCAUCUAGGGGAGCCGUAGGGAAACCGAGUCUUAACUGGGCGUUCAGUCUCUGGAUAUAGACCCGAAACCAGGUGAUCUAGCCAUGGGCAGGUUGAAGGUUGAGUAACAUCAACUGGAGGACCGAACCGACUAAUGUUGAAAAAUUAGCGGAUGACUUGUGGCUAGGGGUGAAAGGCCAAUCAAACCUGGAGAUAGCUGGUUCUCCCCGAAAGCUAUUUAGGUAGCGCCUCGGACGAAUACUACUGGGGGUAGAGCACUGUUAAGGCUAGGGGGUCAUCCCGACUUACCAACCCUUUGCAAACUCCGAAUACCAGUAAGUACUAUCCGGGAGACACACGGCGGGUGCUAACGUCCGUCGUGGAGAGGGAAACAACCCAGACCGCCAGCUAAGGUCCCAAAUUACUACUAAGUGGGAAACGAUGUGGGAAGGCUCAGACAGCCAGGAUGUUGGCUUAGAAGCAGCCAUCAUUUAAAGAAAGCGUAAUAGCUCACUGGUCGAGUCGGCCUGCGCGGAAGAUGUAACGGGGCUAAGUAGUAAACCGAAGCUGCGGCAAUAUACUUUUGUAUAUUGGGUAGGGGAGCGUUCUGUAAGCGGUUGAAGGUGUGUGGUAACGCAUGCUGGACGUAUCAGAAGUGCGAAUGCUGACAUGAGUAACGAUAAAGGGGGUGAAAAACCUCCUCGCCGGAAGACCAAGGGUUCCUGUCCAACGUUAAUCGGGGCAGGGUAAGUCGACCCCUAAGGCGAGGCCGAAAGGCGUAGUCGAUGGGAAACGGGUUAAUAUUCCCGUACUUCUUACAAUUGCGAUGGGGGGACGGAGAAGGCUAGGUGGGCCUGGCGACGGUUGUCCAGGUUCAAGUGCGUAGGCUUAAGAGUUAGGUAAAUCCGGCUCUUUUUAAGGCUGAGACACGACGUCGAGCACCUACGGGUGUGAAGUCAUUGAUGCCAUGCUUCCAGGAAAAGCCUCUAAGCUUCAGAUUGUAAGGAAUCGUACCCCAAACCGACACAGGUGGUCGGGUAGAGAAUACCAAGGCGCUUGAGAGAACUCGGGUGAAGGAACUAGGCAAAAUGGUACCGUAACUUCGGGAGAAGGUACGCUCUCGACGGUGAAGUCCCUCGCGGAUGGAGCUAUUGAGAGUCGCAGAUACCAGGUGGCUGCAACUGUUUAUUAAAAACACAGCACUGUGCAAAAUCGUAAGAUGACGUAUACGGUGUGACGCCUGCCCGGUGCCGGAAGGUUAAUUGAUGGGGUUAGACUUCGGUCGAAGCUCUUGAUCGAAGCCCCGGUAAACGGCGGCCGUAACUAUAACGGUCCUAAGGUAGCGAAAUUCCUUGUCGGGUAAGUUCCGACCUGCACGAAUGGCGUAAUGAUGGCCACGCUGUCUCCACCCGAGACUCAGUGAAAUUGAAAUCGCUGUGAAGAUGCAGUGUACCCGCGGCUAGACGGAAAGACCCCGUGAACCUUUACUACAGCUUGGCACUGAACAUUGACCCUACAUGUGUAGGAUAGGUGGGAGGCUUUGAAGCAGGUACGCCAGUAUCUGUGGAGCCGUCCUUGAAAUACCACCCUUGUAGUGUUGAUGUUCUAACGUCGACCCCUUAUCGGGGUUGCGGACAGUGCCUGGUGGGUAGUUUGACUGGGGCGGUCUCCUCCCAAAGAGUAACGGAGGAGCACGAAGGUGGGCUAAUCACGGUUGGACAUCGUGAGGUUAGUGCAAUGGCAUAAGCCCGCUUGACUGCGAGAAUGACAAUUCGAGCAGGUGCGAAAGCAGGUCAUAGUGAUCCGGUGGUUCUGAAUGGAAGGGCCAUCGCUCAACGGAUAAAAGGUACUCCGGGGAUAACAGGCUGAUACCGCCCAAGAGUUCAUAUCGACGGCGGUGUUUGGCACCUCGAUGUCGGCUCAUCACAUCCUGGGGCUGAAGUCGGUCCCAAGGGUAUGGCUGUUCGCCAUUUAAAGUGGUACGCGAGCUGGGUUUAGAACGUCGUGAGACAGUUCGGUCCCUAUCUGCCGUGGGCGUUGGAAGAUUGAAGGGGGCUGCUCCUAGUACGAGAGGACCGGAGUGGACGAACCUCUGGUGUUCGGGUUGUGUCGCCAGACGCAUUGCCCGGUAGCUAAGUUCGGAAUCGAUAACCGCUGAAAGCAUCUAAGCGGGAAGCGAGCCCUGAGAUGAGUCUUCCCUGAUACUUUAAGUAUCCUAAAGGGUUGUCGGAGACUACGACGUUGAUAGGUCAGGUGUGUAAGUGCUGUGAGGCAUUGAGCUAACUGAUACUAAUUGCCCGUGAGGCUUAACCAU
rnacentral:rRNA from 1 species